rnacentral:tRNA from 1 species
GAGGAUGUAGCUAAGUGGUAGAGAACUUGCUUAACAUGCAUGAAGCCCUGGGUUCAAUUUCCAGCUCCACCA